GAUGAAGAACGUAGCGAAAUGCGAUAAGUAGUGUGAAUUGCAGAAUUCAGUGAAUCAUCGAAUCUUUGAACGCACAUUGCGCCCCUUGGUAUCCCGAGGGGCAUGCCUGUUCGAGCGUCAUUUCACCACUCAAGCCUGGCUUGGUGUUGGGCGACGUCCCCUCUGGGGACGCGCCUCGAAACGCUCGGCGGCGUGGCACCGGCUUUAAGCGUAGCAGAAUCUUUCGCUUUGGAAGUCGGGGCCCCGUCUGCCGGAAGACCUACUCGCAAGGUUGACCUCGGAUCAGGCAGGGAUACCCGCUGAACUUAAGCAUAUCAAUAAGCGGAGGA
rnacentral:misc_RNA from 1 species